rnacentral:rRNA from 1 species
AUUGAACGCUGGCGGCAUGCCUUACACAUGCAAGUCGAACGGCAGCACGGGUGCUUGCACCUGGUGGCGAGUGGCGAACGGGUGAGUAAUACAUCGGAACGUACCUUAUCGUGGGGGAUAACGCAGCGAAAGCUGUGCUAAUACCGCAUACGCCCUGAGGGGGAAAGCGGGGGAUCGAAAGACCUCGCGCGAUUAGAGCGGCCGAUGCCUGAUUAGCUUGUUGGUGGGGUAAAAGCCCACCAAGGCGACGAUCAGUAGCUGGUCUGAGAGGACAAUCAGCCACACUGGGACUGGGACACGGCCCAGACGCCUACGGGAGGCAGCAGUGGGGAAUUUUGGACAAGGGGGGAAACCCUGAUCCAGCAAUGCCGCGUGAGUGAAGAAGGCCUUCGGGUUGUAAAACUCUUUUGUCAGGGAAGAAACACCGGCUCUAACACAGUCCGGGAAUGACGGUACCUGAAGAAUAAGCACUGGCUAACUACGUGCCAGCCGCCGCCGUAA